rnacentral:rRNA from 1 species
GAUGAACGCUGGCGGCGUGCUUAACACAUGCAAGUCGAACGCUGAAGCCCUUUCGGGGGUGGAUGAGUGGCGAACGGGUGAGUAACACGUGGGUAAUCUGCCCUGCACUCUGGGAUAAGCCUUGGAAACGGGGUCUAAUACCGGAUAGGACACAUCGCCGCAUGGUGUGUGUGUGGAAAGUUCCGGCGGUGCAGGUUGAGCCCGCGGCCUAUCAGCUUGUUGGGGGGGUGAUGGCCUACCAAGGCGACGACGGGUAGCCGGCCUGAGAGGGUGACCGGCCACACUGGGACUGAGACACGGCCCAGACUCCUACGGGAGGCAGCAGUGGGGAAUCUUGCGCAAUGGGCGAAAGCCUGACGCAGCAACGCCGCGUGGGGGAUGACGGCCUUCGGGUUGUAAACCUCUUUCGACCGGGACGAAGGGUGACUGACGGUACCGGUAGAAGAAGCACCGGCUAACUACGUGCCAGCAGCCGCGGUAA